UGACAGUUUUAAAAAGACCAUGCAUGUACACCCAGACCUAGUUCUUUACCUACCUAAGACUGGUCUUAGAAACGCUGGUGAUAAAA
rnacentral:snoRNA from 1 species